rnacentral:rRNA from 1 species
AGAGGAGCGUUCUGUAAGCCGUUGAAGGUGAAUCGUAAGGUUUGCUGGAGGUAUCAGAAGUGCGAAUGCUGACAUGAGUAACGAUAAAGGGGGUGAGAGGCCCCCUCGCCGAAAGCCCAAGGUUUCCUGCGCAAUGCUAAUCAGCGCAGGGUUAGUCGGCCCCUAAGGCGAGGCAGAAAUGCGUAGUCGAUGGGAAACAGGUUAAUAUUCCUGUACUUCAUAUAACUGCGAUGGGAAGACGGAGAAGGUUAGCUCAGCAAGGCGAUGGUUGUCCUUGUUCAAGCGUGUAGAAAUGGUUCUUAGGAAAAUCCGGGAACCUCUAUUUCAAGGCGUGAUAACGAGCCCUCUUUUGGGCGAAGUGAGUGAUACCAUGCUUCCAGGAAAAUCCUCUAAGCUAUAGGUUAUAUGAAACCGUACCCCAAACCGACACAGGUGGACGAGAUGAGAAUUCUAAGGCGCUUGAGAGAACUCGGGUGAAGGAACUAGGCAAAAUGACACCGUAACUUCGGGAGAAGGUGUGCUCUUUGUAGGUGAAAUCACUAGCUGAUGAAGCUGAAAAGAGUUGAAGAAACCAGGUGGCUCCGACUGUUUAUUAAAAACACAGCACUCUGCAAACACGUAAGUGGACGUAUAGGGUGUGACGCCUGCCCGGUGCUUGAAGGUUAAUUGAUGAGGUUAGGAUUUAUCCGAAGCUUUUGAUCGAAGCCCAAGUAAACGGCGGCCGUAACUAUAACGGUCCUAAGGUAGCGAAAUUCAUUGUCGGGUAAGUUCCGACCUGCACGAAUGGCGUAACGAGGGCCACACUGUCUCCACCCGAGACUCAGUGAAAUUGAAAUUGCUGUUAAGAUGCAGUAUACCCGCGGCCAGACGGAAAGACCCCGUGCACCUUUACUACAGCUUUGCAUUGAACUCUGAUCCUACCUGUGUAGGAUAGGUGGGAGACUUUGUCUCCACCCGAGACUCAGUGAAAUUGAAAUUGCUGUUAAGAUGCAGUAUACCCGCGGCCAGACGGAAAGACCCCGUGCACCUUUACUACAGCUUUGCAUUGAACUCUGAUCCUACCUGUGUAGGAUAGGUGGGAGACUUUGAAACUUUAACGCUAGUUAGAGUGGAGUCAUCCUUGAAAUACCACCCUGGUAUGGUUGGGGUUCUAACCUUGGUCCGUUAUCCGGAUUGGGGACAAUGCAUGGUGGGUAGUUUGACUGGGGCGGUCUCCUCCCAAAGAGUAACGGAGGAGCGCAAAGGUACCCUCAGCACGGUCGG